rnacentral:rRNA from 1 species
UACGUAGGCAGCGAGCGUUGUUCGGAGUUACUGGGCGUAAAGGGUGUGUAGGCGGUUGUUUAAGUUUGGUGUGAAAUCUCCCGGCUCAACUGGGAGGGUGCGCCGAAUACUGAAUGACUUCGAGUGCGGGAGAGGUGAGUGGAAUUCCUGGUGUAGCGGUGAAAUGCGUAGAUAUCAGGAGGAACACCGGUGGUGUAGACGGCUCACUGGACCGUAACUGACGCUGAGACACGAAAGCGUAGGUAGCAAACAGG